GUGCUGUGGCAUUAUGAGCUAUCAGGACUGGGGGAACAGCAUCCCUGGAUCCUGUAAGUGUUCAGAAUCCACUUUCUGCACAAACCGCCCAGGGAACUUGGAAGGUCCAGCUAUCAUCUACUCCAGGCCGUGCUUCCCCAUCGCGUCUGACCUGCUGGAUCUGGCCUUGACAGUCUCCAUGGGUGUCUUCUUUGGCUUCGCUGUCACCGCUCUCCUCUGCCUUGGGGCGAGCCUCCUGAUGAUUGGUCAGGUCAGGCGUCACGACGGCGGCCGCGGAGGACAGGCCAUCGCCAUGACGGCUCCUGGGUACAAGCUGACCCCUGGCAUCUGACCUCUGAACUCACGCCUGAUUUCUGCUUCUGUAAAUGAGUCCUGCGCUAUGAAGUCAAUAGUGACAUCAUCAGGAGACAGAGUGUUUCACUCGUGUUCCCAUUAAAGAAAACAAAAAAAAGCCACUCCCCUUCUCAGUAGGCCACUCCCCAUCUGAUUAGGCUACUCCCCUUCUCAGCCGGCCGCUCCCCUUCUCAGUAGGCCACUCCCCUUCUCAGUAGGCCACUCCCCUUCUCAGUAGGCCACUCCCCUUCUCAGUAGCCACUCAUCAGUGUUACGUUAAUGCUACUAGUAUAGCAGUAGUAUUAAGGUGAUAUACUGCUAGUAUAGCAGUAGUAUUAAGGUGACACAGUUAUAUUAGUAUAGCAGUAGGAUUAACUUAACAUAGUACUAGUAUAGCAGUAGUAUUAAGGUAGUAUUCUACUAGUAUAGCAGUAGUAUCAUUGUAAUAUAGUACUUCUAGUACAGCAGUAUUAAGGUAGUAUAGUACUAUUAUAGCAGUAGCAUUAAGAAGUUAGUAAAGUAGUUCUAGUAUAGCAGUAGCAUUAAGGUAGUAUACUAGUAUGGCAGUAGUAUUAGGUGGUAUAGUUGUUCUUCUACAGCAGCAGUAGUUAAGUAAUGAAAAAGAGAAGCUAGGCACAGUGCUGAGUGUUUGAUUCCCCAGAGAGAGAGACACCGUAUCGAUACUAAAACUCAUUUACUACUUUAAUAAUGGCUUCUUUCUGUCCCAUUUAAAUGCAAUCUUCCACUUGUUCAACACAGAGAGGUGUUGUCGUGUGUGUCUGCAGGUGUAGAAGUGUCUGCAUGUAUGUUUAUAUCCCAGUGCAGUGGCGGACUCAGAAAAAAUAAAUAAAAAGGGCACAUUCUGGACAACAUGGGGCCCCACCAGCGGACACAGUGGCUUUUCUAACUUGAUGGUGUUUUGUUCCCCCAACGGAGCCUUAAAGGCAGCGCUGCCUGGAAGGCCCUAUCCCCUAACCUUAGCAAGCGCUGUCUUGAAGGUCCCAUUCGGGGCACUUGUUACAUCUCCAUGUAGCACUUAAAAGAAUAGUUUGGCUCAUAAUUUAAACGGGGGGUUUUAAUAAAAAAAGAAAAUUGCUUCAAAGACACUGUUUCCCCUUAUUCUAGCGACUUUAUAAACACCAAAAUGAGUUGUUCACAUCAUUGUGCACUUUCACAUUUUAGCCAAAGAAAGGAGGAUGCCUUACUGCUUUCAUCUUUACUAACAUUUCAGUAAAAAUUUGACUGGAGUAAAUUCAAUGUGCCGCUACCAUACAGUCUUUGACCGCUGACAGCCGAUGCCAAGAUGCCAAGUUAGAUGCCAAGUUUUUCGAACUUGGCAUCUAAUUGUGCUUUUCCACUAUGGGUACUGAGUACUCUUGAUCCGCUUUUUGCUUCGUUAUCCAGUGGAGAUUUAAGUACCACUCAAUGUAGCUGUUUGUCAUGGCGACGCCACAUGAAAGCAACGCCUCGCAUUCCCCGUUCGUCAGCUACCAAAGAGAGGAACGUCUGCACCUCAAUAGCUAACCACAACAUGUUUUUUUCGGUUUGCCAUAUUCUUGCUCCAGAGGGCACAUCAUCAUCAUCAUCAGGGGCAACCUAUAGGGCACUCAUUAAUUUUUGUUCACGUGUAAAGGGCAGCCAAUAAGGCACUUUCUCUCAUUUUCACCACCAUAGAGGGCACUUUAGCACACUUUUUCAACCAUGGGGGCACCAGAUGGGCAGAAGGGCACUAGAAGGGCACCAGACGGGCAGAAGAGCACUAGAAGGGCACUAUAAGGACCAGACGAGCAGAAGGGCACCAUCAGGGCACUAGAAGGGCACUAGAAGGGCACUGGAAGGGCACUAGAAGGACCAGACGGGCAGAAGGGCACUAUCAGGGUACUAGAAGGGCACCAGAUGGGCAGAAGGGCACUUGAAGGACCAGACGGGCAGAAGGGGACUAUCAGGGCACUAGAAGGACCAGAUGGGCAGAAGGGGACUAUAAGGGCACUAGAAGGGCAACAGACGGGCAGAAGGGCACUAUCAGGGUACUAAAGGGGGCACUAAAACGGCAUCAGACAGGCAGAAGGGGACUAUAAGGGCACUCAUUAAGGCACGUCAUUUAAUUUUCUUGUUCUAGAGGGCACAUCAUCAUCAUUUAUUGUAUGAAGGAGCACCCUAGAGGGCACCUAAUCAUGAUUUACACGUGAAAAGGGCAGCCAAUAAGGCAUUUCCUCUCGUUUUCGACACUCUUGAAGGGCACUUUAGCGCGCUUUUUCCACCAUUGAGCCAUGAGGGGGGGCGGUCGCCCCCCCUGAGUCCGCCACUGUCCCAGUGUGUAUGUGUGAGGUUUAGUGUCCUUAUUUGUUUGUGCGUCGGCCUCCGUGUGUGUCUGUGUCAGUGGUUCAAUAGAGGGCGCUAUAUUCCCUUGAAUAUAUCUGCCAACUAUGAAUCAACUGUUAUAAAUACGAAAUAAAUCAACAAGAAACAUAGCAUUCAUCCUCUUUUAAUUGUGUGAUUGACCGUACAUGCCACUGCCAGCAACCAUUUAAAUGCGUCUCAACGUCAAUGAUUUGGGCUAGGCUAGUAAUUCAUUCGAAAUAAAGCCCUCCUCCAAGUCAGGGGCGCCGGCCACGUUGAACUCAAUGUAAGCUCGCCAAUGAAAGGCAGAGGAAGCCUUUCAUUGGCGCAAGAAAAUUUGGCCAUGGGUCGCACCAGUGUGCGCCCCAGGCCUAUGGUAUCGCUUUUCUUUUUUGUUAUCACCAAAUGAUUGGGCAAUUCAACCAAUCAAUCAAAUAGGCUACCUCCCUCAGCAGCAUUCGCGCAACGCAACUACAUGCAGAGAAGAGUGUAGUCCAGGGUAUACGCGGGUAUACGGCGUAUACCCACUUAUUUUUCAGUCAUCAUUGCGUAUACCCACUUCUAAAUCCCCCCAGAUGCGCACCAUUCAGUAGUAUCUGCAAGCCAAAUUGCCCACUUUUUUGCGUUCACACCAAAACCUGACGGGGCGACAAGAUCCCAAGUUUUGAUUUGUCGCGCCACACUUUCGCCGUGCACAGGCGAGCGCGUUCACGAGGAUUUGUGCAGCGACAAAUCCGCUCGAGUUGAAAUAUUUCAACUUUGACGCGAAUUUCGCGUGAUGAUGGCCAAUCAGCGUUCAACGGCGUGGCCACUGAGUGACAUAUGUAACUUAACAGUCAAUCAGCGUUCAACCGUCAAACUCAGUGCAGUGCAGUACGGGGUGAACUGCAGCAUGGAGUUGAAAGUGAUUGUUGCCGUUUGCGACUCCCGGAGCUCUAGGCCUAUAUAUAAUAGUAUAUAAUAUAAUAUAAUUGUAUAUAUAAUAUCACGGCCAAAAGCUCUGUGCGCCAUGACCCACGCUACUCUGCCUCUUAUUGGCUAAUACUCGCUGCCUUUACCGAUUCGAUUGUGGAAUAAUUUGAAUGAUGAUUUUCAAUCAUCAUAUAUUCAUAUAUAUAUUGAUUAUAUAUAUAUCUAACGAGAUGAUUGAUGUGGAAGAGAAUGAUGUGCGUUUUUUUUAAUCUAAGGUGAAAUACGAACAAGGAUGCAUUGUCAAGUAUUUUAUUUAAAUAAAUCUUCAAAAAAUUACUGAAACACCAUGUUUGCCUCAUCUAUAUUUUACAUUCAUGCAGGCUGCCUGUGUGACCAGCAAUACCUACAAACUGCUCCUGAUCAAGUCAUGUUAAUUUUAUAAUGGUGGCCCACUCUGGCCCAUGUGUUGCAAAUCAGCUGUUCAAAGACACAGUUUACAAAAUAAAUUACUGACAAGUGAGAGAAUAGGUGUCAUGUGACAAUGAGCAAAUACUACU